UGUCAAAUGGAGAAACGAACAGGG
rnacentral:siRNA from 1 species